rnacentral:rRNA from 1 species
CAGCAGCCGCGGGAAAACGGAGGGGGCUAGCGUUGUUCGGAAUUACUGGGCGUAAAGGGCGCGUAGGCGGUUUGACAAGUUCGGUGUGAAAUCUAUGGGCUCAACCCAUAGCCUGCAUCGAAAACUGUCGGGCUUGAGUAUGGGAGAGGUGAGUGGAAUUUCCGGUGUAGCGGUGAAAUGCGUAGAUAUCGGAAGGAACACCUGUGGCGAAAGCGGCUCACUGGACCAUUACUGACGCUGAGGCACGAAAGCUAGGGGAGCAAACAGGAUUAGAUACCCCUGUAGUCCCUGUCUCUUAUAC